ACAUGUCUUUUUGGUUAUUUAAUAUAAAGUCUGACCUGCCCACUGAAUAUAAUUUUAAAGGGCCGCAGUAUUUUGACUGUGCAAAGGUAGCAUAAUCAUUAGUCUUUUAAUUGAAGGCUGGUAUGAAUGGUUGGAUGAGGUACAAGCUGUGUCAUAAAAAUUAAUAUUUGAAUUUACCUUUUUAGUCAAAAGGCUAAAAUUUUAUUAAAAGACGAGAAGACCCUAUAGAGCUUUAUAUAAUUAAUAUUUAGAUUAUUAAUAUUUUUUAAAUUUAAUUAUUUUAUUAUAUUUUGUUGGGGUGACAAUAAAAUUUAUAAAACUUUUAUUAUUAUUAUUCAUUAAUUUAUGUUUAAAUGAUCCAAUUUUAUUGAUUAUAAAUUUAAGUUACCUUAGGGAUAACAGCGUAAUUUUUUUUGAGAGUUCUUAUCGACAAAAAAGAUUGCGACCUCGAUGUUGGAUUAAGAGUAAUUUUGGGUGUAGAAGUUCAAAAUUUAAGUCUGUUCGACUUUUAAAUUCUUACAUGAUC
rnacentral:rRNA from 1 species